ACAACAUAGGGCCCUGUACAAAAACCCAAUGGUGCAAAAGAAGUUUUAUGGUUUUUUGGGAAGGAAGAAUUUAAGUUCCUUAAAUACCUCAGGAAAUAAAUCUGACAUUCUUUUCACAUAUUGAUUUAUCCUGAAUGUAUUGAGCUGAUGGAGUUUUUUGCAGGAGAAAAAUAGAACUAGGGAAUUCAUUACUUGAUGAAGAUAUUUGACAUCAUUAUUGUUUUCUCCCUUCCAGGUUCAGAAGAAAACGUAGCUCUAAAUGCCCUCAUGGAAUUACAUACAUGGGUUAAUAAGACAAGCAUCUGGAUUUUCAUCUUUUUUUUUUUAAUAACUUUUGAAUGCAGCAAGGAAAGAGUUAUUUAUUUGACUGGGUAUUAACAGUGUGAGAACAGAUAAGCUUGUGUUUGGAAGUGGAACCACUCUCACAGUUGAACCAAAUAACAAAAAACGCACAGGGCUAACAGUAGCUGGCAAAAACAUGUUACACCUGGAAAGGAAAUGUAUGAGGAAGAAUAACAAAACAAGCCUUUUUUGAUAUACCCAAUGUAACUGUGCGUAACUGCUGGUCUAAUCUUCGGGACUGGGACCCAACUGACUGUGGAGCCUAGUAGGAAAUCAGAAUGAUUCUAUUCCAGAAGUCAUUGUGAUGAAAUCAAGGAAACACAAAGAUGAUGAUGACACUGGGAAAGCAGCUUGUCUGGCAAGGAAUUUUUAUAAGAAGAACAUCAGUUUGGAGAUGUCCAUUAAAGAAGUUGUAUAUGAAUCAAAAGAACCCAUUGUGACAUCAAAUGGGAUGUAUAAUACUAUUAAAGUGGUCAAAGUGACAGAAAAAUCAGAGGUGACGUGCACGGCCAGGUUAAGCAAUGGCAAUUUUACAGCCAACUCAACAUCACCAGAAAUGAAAGCUGAAAAAAUGAAGCCAGUAAAUAAUUGCAACUCCACAGACAACUCCACAGAAGAUGUCAAAAUGGAGAAAGUGAACAUGUUGUCCAUGGCCGUGUUGGGUUUGAGAGUACUGCUGGCAAAAAGUAUUGCCUUCAAUACACUCAUGAGUAUCAAGUUGAUUCUUUUCUGAGGCAAUGGAGAAGCAAGGCAGCAGAAGUGUGAGGAACAGAAGGAGAGAGUGUUUACCAGCAGUAUGAAAUUCAGGGGCGGAAAACCUUCCUAGAGAGUUUAUGUAACUGUUAGAGUUGUAACUGAUUUUGCUAUUUCUUGUUCUCUGUGAACUGAGGAGAGUAUAUUUUUCUUCAUUCCUUUGCUAAGUAGGAAUUGCUUUUCCCUCUCUUUUAUCCUUUGCAUAGAAGCAUCCCACCAGCACUGAUAGUUGUAAAAAUCAGAGCCUCACCACAGGCACAUGACCAUUUUAAAAUGCCUUUUACAGGAAUGUUGUAUUACUCCAUAGAGCUGAGAUUUUACUGCUGAGAGGAUUCAGGAGAGGCUAUUAAUGGUCUUACUGCUUUUUAGAUAGCUUCAAUAACAAUCUUUUUCUAGUGUAGAUGAAGAGAUCUGUGUUGGACCUGAAGUGUUUCACUGCAACCAGAUAAUGUUCAACCACAGUAACAGUUUUAUUUGCAUUUCUUUAUUUAACUUGUAUCACUUCUGCAAAGCAUACACCUCUGUUUUAAGUUGCUGUAGUCAUUGCCUAAAUAAAGUUUUAGUAUGCUAAAA